rnacentral:rRNA from 1 species
UACAGAGGGUGCAAGCGUUAAUCGGAAUUACUGGGCGUAAAGCGCGCGUAGGUGGUUUGUUAAGUUGGGUGUGAAAGCCCCGGGCUCAACCUGGGAACUGCAUCCAAAACUGGCAAGCUAGAGUACGGUAGAGGGUGGUGGAAUUUCCUGUGUAGCGGUGAAAUGCGUAGAUAUAGGAAGGAACACCAGUGGCGAAGGCGACCACCUGGACUGAUACUGACACUGAGGUGCGAAAGCGUGGGGAGCAAACAGG